UGAAACGUAGACUCUUCAAAAAGCAAUCUUAAAUAAUCCGCGGAUGGUUGGUUUCUAUGCGAUAAAUCUUCAUUUUCUAAAGCAUACGAUCGAUCGGAAUGCAAACGACGGCUAAAGAGCGGCACGAUUCUUCGACAUCGCGAUCGAUUUGUAAAACGAUAAAGCUUUCACUGUACUUGUAUAUUUUUUCAAACGACUUUCAAUGCGCAUAGGUUACACACAUUCUCUUGAACGCCAAUUACGGUAUCGACUUUUAUACGAGACUUGCUUUCGUCUUCGUUCGAAGCUAAAGAUCGUCAACAACGCGACUUAGAGAUAAAAGAAGAAGAGAACACGACGACAGAGAAUCGAGGUCGAAGCGAACGAGCAUGUUUUUAUCAUCAUCGACAUACGGAGGUAAAUCCCUGAGAUCUUUUCGUAAAAAGAAGGAAAAAUACAAAAAAAAAAAAAAAAUAGAGAAAAAAAAGAAAUAAACGCUUUGUUACACCGAUCGUACAUAUCACAGUGAAAGGACCACGCGUUGGUAACGACGAGACGUGUAAAAUCUUUCGAUUCGCUACGCAUUUCUAGAUCGCCAUCGAUCAACGAUCAGAAGAAGGAAAUUUCAACUUCCGUAACGUCUUUUCUUCUCGACUUUUUAAUAUCGGGCCGAUCCGUUCAUUCGAAAACGAUCGAGUUCGCGUUCGCAUCGUAUUAAUCGAAAUAAAAAUACAUCAUGCUAAGAACGACGACGGACUCGCGUUGUCACGAUCGAGAAUUACCGUUGUCAUUGUCAUCGUUGUCGUCAUUAUCGUUUCCAUCGUUGUUAUCAGCAGCAGCAAGAAUAUCGAGAGCAAAGAGCAGCCGAACGUACCUUGGAGAAUGGCGAAAAGGCUCCGAUCUGAUACGGACGCUGCUGUUUGCAGAAAUAUUUUUUUACCGUUUAGCGUCAGUCAGCCACCUCAUCUGUUCGUUUUAGAUCCGGCUAGACCUCUCGAACGCGGAUACCUGCACGAAACGGAUCGAUUCCGCGUUCCACGUGCUACCCACACCCCAAAAGAACGUUAAAGACGAAAAGGAAAAGAAAGAAACGUAGUUUCGGGGCAAUUUCCGAGCUUUCCCGCGAGAAUUGUAUCCGAAGCGCGCUUAACGGCACAACGCAUAGAGAGUAGUAAACGAGAAGGAAAAAGGAAAAAGAGGGAAAAAAGAAAAGAGAGAAAACUAGAGACAGGGGAAGAAAAAGGUUGCGUAUUUGUUGCGCGUACGAAUUUCCGUGCCUAUGUCUGUGCGCGCACGUUCAAUUCGUUCGCCCUCGAACUAAUUCCUUUCGAAGCUGUAAAUAACUAAGGAUCGAGUCAAACUUGCGGGUGAAACGAGAGAAAGGCGCGAGAAUGAACGACGAAGGGGAAGAAUUAAUGCAACAAAAAAAAAAAAAGGGAAGAAAAGAGAAAAAAAUUUAACAGAUAUGUACGAAUAAUUGUAUAAAGACUGAUUAGAGUUAUCUUGGUAUUUAUUCUAAUUCACAGUUAAACGCUAUCGCUUUGCGCGCUCUCGAAUACUCACGGAGCACGACACCAAAAGUAUUCCCUGGCUCAGAUUCCAUUUUUCUCUUGUUCUUUGACAUCUGUCUGCGAUUACUCGGUCGCGUUUCCCGUUUCCAUUCGUUCUUCCAUUUGGCAUUUCGCGCGCGAAUCGCCACGAAACGUCGAGUCCUAUUAAUCGCCAAACAAAUCACAGCGGUGCUCGCUUAAAUUUCAAUAAACUAGGAUUUUGUAUCGCGAUUCUCGCGCAAGCAGCGGCAACUUUGUUCUACGAAUACCGUCGAGACGAGCGAAUAGAAUUUCGCUGUCGUUGUCGAUACGCGCGAUUUCCAUUUUUAGUCGCAUAUCGAAACUUUCCUUAAAACGUUCCACGUCUUAUCGCUUGUCGAGACAAGAGUGAGAUUUGCACGAUGAUAUUUGCGGAACCACGGCAGAGUUAAGCGAGCAUUACUGGACCAGCAGCAACCACGAAACGCCGAUCGAUCGUUCGAUGGAUCGAUCGAACGAUUCUUGGUUUUCGUGUCUAAUGAUAAUUUCGUGAUAAUUUGAUGCUCUGUUUGAAAAUAGAACGGGUCAUAUACUCGUAUCGGCCUAUGAAACAUUUUUUCGUCGUACAGACUGGAGAACGCGAAAAGCGAAACGGAAAAAUGAAGAGAAAGGAUAGAAGGAAUAAGGGGAAACGAAAAUCAACGAUCGACGAUCACGAUCCGCGGUAUUUCGAUGAUUUUUGUUUCGUAUCGUUAACGCGUAAUUCAUCCGUAUUCAAGGGAAGAGCCAUCGGAUUAUACAAAACGCGUGCGAACAGAGCAAAGAGAAAAAGAAAAAUGGUACGCGCGAUUAUAACAGCGACGCUACUAUCGUCACAUCGUAUCAAUAUUAUCCGAUGCAUCGUAUAAACAAGUAAACUAGAUGUAAACUUUGUAUAUUCAUUUACCAAGAGAAUAAAGAUAAAUUAUUCGACGUACAUA